GUCCCAUCUUAUGGCUUAUACAUUGAGUUUUGUAAGUGCUAUUUUCUGUGGCCAUCUGGGUACGGUCGAGCUGGCAGGGGUGUCUUUGGCUACAUCAGUUAUUAAUGUUAUAGGUAUAUCUGUUGGAAGCGGUUUGGCUUCAGCAUGUGAUACUUUGAUUUCUCAGACCUAUGGGAGCCAAAACCUUCUGAGGAUUGGGGUCAUUCUUCAGAGGGCAAUCCUCAUUUUGUUACUGGCUUGUUUCCCAUGUUGGGCAAUUCUCAUCAACACAGAGGCCCUUCUUUUGGCUGUCAAACAAGAGCCAGAGGUA